CUGCGGCUCCUGGAGAGGGGAAGCUCAGCCUCGUGGCUCUGGAGCUGGCAAGCAAUCUCCCAGCGCUCUUUGAGGACGUAAGGGGAGCGGGGAGCCCGGCUUGCUAGGGAUGUGGCAGUGACCCCAGCAUCCCCACGCUGGCCGUGCUGGCCCUGCUCGCUGUAGGCUUGGAGCUGUCGGUACCCACAUCCUUCUCUCCUCCUCUGCAGGAGUCCGGCACGGUGCGUCAGCUCUCCAUCCACCUCUUCCUUGACACGCUGAGCUUUGUGGAGGGCAGAGAAAAGAGGAAGAUGCGGAAGGAGGUGUACAGGAGCCUGGUCCCGCUGUAUCUGCACCUGCACGAUGAGGAAGAGAGCGUGGCCAAGGCCUCCCAGAAAGCCUUCCUCGGUGCCGCACGGUUCCUGCACUGGAGGCGGCUGGAGCACCUGGCAGAGGUGGCACAGUUCUGGCAGAUCGGCGAGUGCAUGAGCCCGCAGGAGCCCCUGCGGCGGGAGGCCGUGAGGUUCCUUGGACUCUUAGGGCAGCACAAGAGGGAUCAGCAGCAGGCUGAGAGAGAGUACAUCUACCAAGGCCUUCACAGUGUGCUGCAAGACCCCAGUGGAUCCAUCUCUUUGCAGUCCCUUCAGACAGCACGGAUCCUGAGAGAAACAAGGCCACCACCACCCUCAGGCUUCAGCUUUUGGCAGCUCUUCUCCAGGCUCCGCAGUGUGUGGCAUUGGUGGCGCUCGUCCCAGGCAGACAGCUGAGCACCCUGGAAAGCUCCUACUCCUCCCUGCAUCUCUUCCUGCCCUCUGUUCAGCUCUGCUACUUGUGCAUCUCCUCCUGCCUUCUACUCAGCUCUGCUCCUCGUGCAUCUCCUCCUGUGCUGGCUCAAUACAUGAGCCUGAAGUUUAGGGCUGUG
ensembl:lncRNA